AUUUUAUCAUAGCCUGGGGCCCUCAGACUUCUCUGUCAAGGGCCAGAUGGUAAAUAUAUUAGGUUUUGCUAGUCAUGUGGUCUCUGUCACAACUUCUCAACUCAUGCUGUUUUAUUUGUUUUCUACUGGGUGCCCUCUCAGUCACUUUUCUUUUUUCAACAAAGUACCACUUAGGAAAAUAUUAUAGUCUGAAACCACUUCAAUCAGUUCUGGCUUUGUAUGCUUAUAGAGGUAAGGUGAUGAAAACCAAGACUUUCUGUUACCCCAUAGGCAGGCUUAAGAACUUUCCAAUCAUAUUUCAUAAACCCUAAAGUAAAUGUACUUCUAUGGGAUGGAUAAAAUAAACGAUGGUCCUAAUAUUUUGUGGCUUAGGGUCAUGGAUUAAAAAGGCUGCAUCUCAAGCAAAUCACAGGCACACCCUGUUUUAGCGUGCUUCACUUUUAUUUUUAAAUUAAAGUAUGUACUUUUUUUGGCUGUUUUCUAUUUAUUUUCACUUUUAACACUAUUUUUUAUUUUAAAAGUUCUGUGGAUACAUAGUAGGUGUAUAUAUCAAGUAUAACCUGAAUGAUGCAGAGGUGUUUUUCACCAGUUUCUGGAGAUGAGCUAAAUGCUGUUACAAUAAUCCCCCUUUUGCAAAACAAGUGUUUAACACCCCGCCGCCCCUCCCGGGCAUAAUUUAUAGCAUUUUAAUUCUCCUACUUGUCUCCGCUUAAGAAUUUCUUAUAGCAUUAUUUAAUGAUGUGAGUUCAAUGGGCAAUUUUAAAACCUACUUAAUUUACUAU
rnacentral:lncRNA from 1 species